AGCGUAACAAGGUUUCCGUAGGUGAACCUGCGGAAGGAUCAUUACCGAGUGUAGGGUUCCUAGCGAGCCCAACCUCCCACCCGUGUUUACUGUACCUUAGUUGCUUCGGCGGGCCCGCCAUUCAUGGCCGCCGGGGGCUCUCAGCCCCGGGCCCGCGCCCGCCGGAGACACCACGAACUCUGUCUGAUCUAGUGAAGUCUGAGUUGAUUGUAUCGCAAUCAGUUAAAACUUUCAACAAUGGAUCUCUUGGUUCCGGCAUCGAUGAAGAACGCAGCGAAAUGCGAUAACUAGUGUGAAUUGCAGAAUUCCGUGAAUCAUCGAGUCUUUGAACGCACAUUGCGCCCCCUGGUAUUCCGGGGGGCAUGCCUGUCCGAGCGUCAUUGCUGCCCAUCAAGCACGGCUUGUGUGUUGGGUCGUCGUCCCCUCUCCGGGGGGGACGGGCCCCAAAGGCAGCGGCGGCACCGCGUCCGAUCCUCGAGCGUAUGGGGCUUUGUCACCCGCUCUGUAGGCCCGGCCGGCGCUUGCCGAACGCAAAUCAAUCUUUUCCAGGUGACCUCGAUCAGAGAACUCACAACUCGAGCCGGCCC
rnacentral:rRNA from 1 species